rnacentral:rRNA from 1 species
UCAAGCUAGAAAGAGCGCAAGGGGAAUGCCUUGGCAUCGAGAGCCGAUGAAGGACGUGACAAGCUGCGAUAAGUCUGGGGGAGCUGCACAUAAGCUUUGAUCCCGGAAUUUCCGAAUGGGGAAACCCGGCAGAGCAAUACUCUGUCAACCUACGUUGAAUAAAAUAGGCGUAGGUAGGGAACCGCCUGAACUGAAACAUCUAAGUAGGGCGAGGAAGAGAAAUCAACCGAGAUUCCGCUAGUAGUGGCGAGCGAACGCGGAAGAGGGCAAACCAGAGGAUUUAUUCUCUGGGGUUGUGGACUUGCACACGGCAUACUAGGUUAGCUGAAUGGUAUGGGAAGGCCAUCCACAGAGGGUGAGAGACCCGUAAGCGAAAACCGAUGUAUGCCAGCGAGGAUCCAGAGUACCGCGGGACACGUGAAACCCCGUGGGAAGCUGGGGGGACCACCCUCCAACCCUAAAUACUACUCGAUGACCGAUAGAGGAGCAGUACCGUGAGGGAAAGGUGAAAAGGACCCCGGGAGGGGAGUGAAACAGAACCUGAAACCUUGUGCUUACAAGCACUCAGAGCUCGUUAAAGAGUGAUGAGGUACCUUUUGUAGAAUGGUCCGGCGAGUUAUUGUACGUAGCGAGCUUAAGGUAUUCAGUACCGAAGGCGAAGCGAGAGCGAGUCUGAAUAGGGCGACUGAGUUGCGUGCAAUAGACCCGAAACCAGGUGACCUAUCCAUGGGCAGGUUGAAGUGGGGGUAAAACCCCAUGGAGGACCGAACCGACCCCCGUUGCAAUGGUGGCGGAUGACCUGUGGAUAGCGGAGAAAUUCUAAUCGAACUUGGAGAUAGCUGGUUCUCCCCGAAAUAGCUUUAGGGCUAGCGUUAGUUUAGAUUACCGGAGGUAAAGCACUGAAUGGGCUAGGGGCUGAUAAAGUUACUGAACCCUAUCAAACUCUGAAUGCCGGAUAAUUGAUGACUAGCAGUCAGACUACGUGAGAUAAGUCUCGUGGUCAAAAGGGAAACAGCCCAGACCCACAGCUAAGGUCCCAAAGAUACGCUAAGUGGAAAACGAUGUGGAAUUGCGAAAACAACCAGGAUGUUGGCUUAGAAGCAGCCACUCAUUAAAAGAGUGCGUAAUAGCUCACUGGUCGAGUGAUUCUGCGCGGAAAAUGUAACGGGGCUAAGCGUAACACCGAAGCUUGGGAUGCAGCAAUGCAUGGUAGGGGAGCGUCGAAUGAGGGGUGAAGUCGUAGCGGAAGCAGCGGUGGACUUCAUUCGAGUGAGAAUGCCGGAAUGAGUAGCGAGAAUUAUGUGGGAAUCAUAAUGGCCGAAAAUCUAAGGUUUCUUGGGGAAGGUUCGUCCGCCCAAGGUAAGCCGGGAGCUAAGGCGAGGCCGCGAGGCGUAGUCGAUGCACAUACGGUUGAAAUUCCGUAGCCACCGAAACUUAAGCUAGAAGGACACUUGGAGCUAUCCAGACCCGGGCGUUGGUUGACCCGGGCGUAAGGGACCGAAAUUAAGUAGGGAAGCUGGAGAAUGACGAGGCGAGAAAAGUUCUAGUGUAUGCUAAGGUGCCCGUACCGCAAACCGACACAGGUAGAUGAGGAGAGAAUCCUAAGGCCAACGGGAGAAGGGUUGUUAAGGAACUCGGCAAAAUUACCCCGUAACUUCGGGAUAAGGGGAGCUCCGAAAGGAGCCGCAGAGAAUAGGCCCAAGCGACUGUUUACCAAAAACACAGGUCUAUGCUAAAUCGAAAGAUGACGUAUAUGGGCUGACGCCUGCCCGGUGCUGGAAGGUUAAGAGGAGGGCUUAGCGCAAGCGAAGGUCUGAAUUGAAGCCCCAGUAAACGGCGGCCGUAACUAUAACGGUCCUAAGGUAGCGAAAUUCCUUGUCAGGUAAGUUCUGACCCGCACGAAUGGCGUAACGAUUUGGGCGCUGUCUCAACAGCCCACCCGGCGAAAUUGUAGUAC